GACGAACGCUGGCGGCGUGCUUAACACAUGCAAGUCGAACGGAAAGGCCCUGCUUUUGUGGGGUGCUCGAGUGGCGCACGGGUGAGUAACCCGUGAGUCUCCUGCCCUUGACUUUGGGAUAACUUCAGGCAACUGGUGAUAAUACCUGCUAGGAGCUGCUGCUGCAUGGUGGGGGUUGGACCGUUUCGGCGGUUGGGGAUGGACUCGCGGCUUAUCAGCUUGUUGGUGGGGUAGCGGCUUACCAAGGCUUUGACGGGUAGCCGGCCUGAGAGGGUGACCGGCCACAUUGGGACUGAGAUACGGCCCAGACUCCUACGGGAGGCAGCAGUGGGGAAUAUUGCACAAUGGGCGGAAGCCUGAUGCAGCAACGCCGCGUGCGGGAUGACGGCCUUCGGGUUGUAAACCGCUUUCGCCUGUGACGAAGCGUGAGUGACGGUAAUGGGUAAAGAAGCACCGGCUAACUACGUG
rnacentral:rRNA from 1 species